rnacentral:tRNA from 1 species
GGACUGUAGCUCAGUGGUAGAGUAUCUGCUUUGCAUGAAGAAUGUCCCAGGUUCAGUCCCUGGCAUCUCCA